GAUGAACGCUAGCGGCAGGCCUAAUACAUGCAAGUCGGACGGGAUUCAGGAGCUUGCUUCUGAUGAGAGUGGCGCACGGGUGCGUAACACGUAUGUAACCUACCUUUAUCAGGGGGAUAGCCUCUCGAAAGAGAGAUUAAGCCCGCAUAAAAUCACAGCACAGCAUUGUGUAAUGAUCAAAUAUUUAUAGGAUAAAGAUGGGCAUGCGGAACAUUAGCUAGAUGGCGGGGUAACGGCCCACCAUGGCGACGAUGUUUAGGGGAUCUGAGAGGAUGGCCCCCCACACUGGUACUGAGACACGGACCAGACUCCUACGGGAGGCAGCAGUAAGGAAUAUUGGGCAAUGGGCGGAAGCCUGAACCAGCCAUGCCGCGUGCAGGAAGACGGCCCUACGGGUUGUAAACUGCUUUUAUACGGGAAUAAACCCAGAUACGUGUACCUGGCUGAAUGUACUGUAAGAAUAAGGAUCGGCUAACUCCGUG
rnacentral:rRNA from 1 species